rnacentral:rRNA from 1 species
AACGCGAAGAACCUUACCUGGGCUCGAAAUGUAGAGGACGUUACAAGAGAUUGUAAUUCCCGUAAGGGUCUCUAUAUAGGUGCUGCAUGGCUGUCGUCAGCUCGUGCCGUGAGAUGUUGGGUUAAGUCCCGCAACGAGCGCAACCCCUGCCCUUAGUUGCCACCGGGUAAUGCCGAGCACUCUAUGGGGACUGCACGGGUCAACCGUGAGGAAGGCGGGGAUGACGUCAAGUCAUCAUGGCCCUUAUGUCCAGGGCUACAAGCGUGCUACAAUGGAUUACACAAAGGGUUGCAAACUCGCGAGAGCCAGCUAAUCCCAAAAAGUAAUCCUCAGUUCGGAUCGGAGUCUGCAACUCGACUCCGUGAAGUUGGAAUCGCUAGUAAUCGCGGAUCAGCCACGCCGCGGUGAAUACGUUCCCGGGCCUUGUACACACCGGUACUA